GUAGGUGAACCUGCGGAAGGAGCAUUGUCGAUACCUGCCCAGAGAGACCCGUGAACAUGUUGCAUCAUCGUGAUUGGGGGUGGGUUGUGGGGGGGGCUACAAGACCCCCUCACAUCUCGUCCCCCUUACGGUCGGUUGGCCUCUAUGGUCUCCGAUCGGAACACAACAACAAUCGGCGCGGUUGGCGCCAAGGAACUCACAACGGAAUUGACGUUGCCACCGUUGCGCCUCUGGCGUGGCGUGUGCCAUCGUCUCCAAUCCGAAUCUCAUGAACGACUCUCGGCAACGGAUAUCUUGGCUCUCGCAUCGAUGAAGAACGUAGCGAAAUGCGAUACUUGGUGUGAAUUGCAGAAUCCCGUGAACCAUCGAGUCUUUGAACGCAAGUUGCGCCCUAGGCCAUCGGGCCGAGGGCACGUCUGCCUGGGCGUCACGCAUUGCGUCGCCCACCCCCUGUUGCCCCUCGUGGCGGCCGGGCGUGGAGCGGAGAUUGGCCCCCCGCGCUCAAGUUCGAGCACGGUCGGCCCAAAGGAAAGGCCUCCUGUGUGGCAAGCGUCACGACGAGUGGUGGUCGAAGCCACUUUGCCAUAGUCCGGACGUCGUGCGCGCGUCUUGUCUCCUGCGGUGCCAUGGACCCUGAUCAUACGUCGUCUAAGGACGAUGUUCCGUUUGCGACCCCAGGUCAGGCGGGGUUACCCGCUGAG
rnacentral:rRNA from 1 species